ACGAAUUGUAGUGGGGGUUGAUGCUGGCAGCCUGGCUGCAGGUGCUCGCUCCUGACACAUAUCCAAACACCUGUGCACUGUUGAGGGUUUCCCGAGUUUUAAUUGCCGUUGUGCGGCGGUUUUGCUUGGGAUUUCCCUUCUCCCUUCACAUACACUGCUGAUAAUAUUGAACGUGCUUGUGCCGUAAGGCAUUAACAAAAAUA
rnacentral:misc_RNA from 1 species